ACCUGGGUAGCUCAGUUGGUUAAGUGUCUGACUUUGGCUCAGGUCAUGAUCUCACGGUUCGUGAGUUCAAGUCCCACAUUGGGUA
rnacentral:tRNA from 1 species